AUAGGCCUCAUGCCAGACUCUUCAAGGAAUUCAAAGAAACUAGAACACUACCGUGUUUUCAAAUAAUAAUAUCUUAUCAAAUGGUCUUCCCUUCAUUGGACAACAGGUCGGCUUACAAAUCACUGGAAUUCAAAACACAGGACAUGUGCUUUAUUAAUGGGCCAAAGAUCAGCAAGAGGAAGAUGAGGAGCAGACAUGGAAAAGGAUCCCUGAAGGUCCGGUCUCUGCCUGCACCUGGAUGCUGCAUCAUCAGAAGUAUUGUCCUGCUGCUUUGCCUUUCUCUCAAGAGACUAUAAUAGAUUUACUACCCUGAGAUGGAACACAGAGGUUGGAUAUUCUGGAUUCUACCCAGGAAGAGUUGCCCACCCCUGAGGAAACCCACUCACUUAUGUAACAGCACCCUGUUUUUCCUUGAGGAAUCCACCUGC